GCCGCAUGAACAACGCUUAAAAGAUGGCUUCUCGCUAUCACUUCUGGAUGGACCUGCGGUGCAUUAGCUUGUUGGUGGGGUAAUGGCCUACCAAGGCGAUGAUGCAUAGCCGAGUUGAGAGACUGAUCGGCCACAAUGGGACUGAGACACGGCCCAUACUCCUACGGGAGGCAGCAGUAGGGAAUCUUCCACAAUGGACGCAAGUCUGAUGGAGCAACGCCGCGUGAGUGAAGAAGGUUUUCGGAUCGUAAAGCUCUGUUGUUGGUGAAGAAGGAUAGAGGUAGUAACUGGCCUUUAUUUGACGGUAUUUAACCAGAAAGUCACGGCUAACUACGUGCCAGCAGCCGCGGUAAUACGUAGGUGGCAAGCGUUGUCCGGAUUUAUUGGGCGUAAAGCGAGCGCAGGCGGAUUGAUAAGUCUGAUGUGAAAGCCUUCGGCUUAACCGAAGAACUGCAUCAGAAACUGUCGAUCUUGAGUGCAGAAGAGGAGAGUGGAACUCCAUGUGUAGCGGUGAAAUGCGUAGAUAUAUGGAAGAACACCGGUGGCGAAGGCGGCUCUCUGGUCUGUUACUGACGCUGAGGCUCGAAAGCAUGGGUAGCGAA
rnacentral:rRNA from 1 species